AUGCCGCCUCGCCGCCGGGGAGGUUCGGGCUACCGCGGCAUCCACGUGCGUCCGUCCGGCAUCUACUCCACCGAGAUUCAGUCGGGCGGCGGCAUGCGCCUCCGUCUCGGAACCUUCGACACUGCCCAGGAGGGCGCCCGCGCGUACGACGCUGCGGCGUGGCCCCUCCCGCGGUCCCGUCAGGACAUGAACUUCGCCGACGUGGCGACACGGGAGCGGGCACAGGAGUUGGCGCCUUUCCCGUGGCUUCUCACCGACGAGGAUCGUCGCAAGCACCGGAGGUGGGAGCAUCAUCUCAGGCUAGCCGAGAUGGAUGAGCAAGCUAUGGCGAUGUGGAGCUAUCGCUUCCGGCACGACAUCAUCAACGAGGAAUGGUUCUUCGCCGAGAGGCGGGCGGAGAGAGCGAAGAGGAGGGAGGAGUGA
rnacentral:rRNA from 1 species